rnacentral:misc_RNA from 1 species
GAUGAAGAACGCAGCGAAAUGCGAUAAGUAAUGUGAAUUGCAGAAUUCAGUGAAUCAUCGAAUCUUUGAACGCACAUUGCGCCCCUUGGUAUUCCGAGGGGCAUGCCUGUUCGAGCGUCAUUAUAACCCCUCAAGCUAAGCUUGGUGUUGGGGCCUGCUGCACUGGCAGCCCUUAAAAUCAGUGGCGGCGCCAUCUGGCUCUAAGCGUAGUAAUUCUUCUCGCUAUGGAGUCCUGGUGGAUGCUUGCCAUCAACCCCCAAUUUUUCUAUGGUUGACCUCGGAUCAGGUAGGGAUACCCGCUGAACUUAAGCAUAUCAAUAAGCGGAGGA